rnacentral:rRNA from 1 species
GUCGAGCGGUCUUUUCGGAGAUAGCGGCGCACGGGUGAGUAACGCGUACGUACCUGCCUUACACACGGGGACACAAACUGGAAACGGAGUAAAUACCCGAUGGACUCGCGAGAGUAAAGCUACGGCGGUGUAAGAUGGGCGUGCGUCUGAUUAGGUAGUUGGUAAGGUAACGGCUUACCAAGCCGACGAUCAGUAGGGGGCGUGAGAGCGUGGUCCCCCACACGGGUACUGAGACACGGACCCGACUCCUACGGGAGGCAGCAGUAAGGAAUAUUGGUCAAUGCCCGCAAGGGUGAACCAGCCAUCCCGCGUGCAGGAUGAAGGUCCUAUGGAUUGUAAACUGCUUUUCUAUUAGAAGAAAUGAAUACCUGCGGGUGUUUUUGACGGUACAAUAGGAAUAAGCACCGGCUAACUCCGUGCCAGCAGCCGCGGUAAUACGGAGGGUGCAAGCGUUAUCCGGAAUCACUGGGUUUAAAGGGUGCGUAGGCUGCUGCAUAAGUCAGGGGUGAAAGUUUGUCGCUUAACGAUAGAAUUGCCUUUGAUACUGUGCGGCUUGAAAUUAGGUGAGGUUGGCGGAAUGUGACAUGUAGCGGUGAAAUGCGUAGAUAUGUCAUAGAACACCGAUUGCGAAGGCAGCUGGCUGACCUAAAUUUGACGCUGAGGCACGAAAGCGUGGGUAGCAAACAGGA